rnacentral:rRNA from 1 species
AGUAAAAGUCGUAACAAGGUCUCCGUAGGUGAACCUGCGGAGGGAUCAUUACACAAUAAAAUAUGAAGGCUGUACGCGGCUGUGCUCUCGGGCCAGUUUUGCGGAGGCUGAAUUAUUUAUUACCCUUGUCUUUUGCGCACUUGUUGUUUCCUGGGCGGGUUCGCCCGCCACCAGGACCACAUCAUAAACCUUUUUUAUGCAGUUGCAAUCAGCGUCAGUAUAACAAAUGUAAAUCAUUUACAACUUUCAACAACGGAUCUCUUGGUUCUGGCAUCGAUGAAGAACGCAGCGAAAUGCGAUACGUAGUGUGAAUUGCAGAAUUCAGUGAAUCAUCGAAUCUUUGAACGCACAUUGCGCCCUUUGGUAUUCCAAAGGGCAUGCCUGUUCGAGCGUCAUUUGUACCUUCAAGCUUUGCUUGGUGUUGGGCGUCUUUUUUUUGUCUUGGGCCUUUUUGUGCCCUGAGACUCGCCUUAAAACGAUUGGCAGCCGGCCUACUGGUUUCGGAGCGCAGCACAUUUUUGCGCUUGCAAUCAGCAAAAGAGGCCAGCCAUCCAUCAAGACCAUUCUUCUCACUUUUGACCUCGGAUCAGGUAGGGAUACCCGCUGAACUUAAGCAUAUCAAUAAGCGGAGGAAAAGAAACCAACAGGGAUUGCCCCAGUAACG